rnacentral:snRNA from 1 species
UUGCUUUGGCAGCACAUAUACUAAAAUUGGAUCGAUACAGAGAAGAUUAGCAUGGCCCCUGCGAAACAUAAGUAGCCUGGUUUUCCUUUGGGUUUUU